UGGCGAACGGGUGAGUAACACGUGGGUGAUCUGCCCUGCACUCUGGGAUAAGCCUGGGAAACUGGGUCUAAUACCGGAUAGGACCAUGCUUUAGUGUGUGUGGUUGAAAGUUUUUUCGGUGUAGGAUGAGCCCGCGGCCUAUCAGCUUGUUGGUGGGGUAAUGGCCUACCAAGGCGGCGACGGGUAGCCGGACUGAGAGGUUGGUCGGCCACAUUGGGACUGAGAUACGGCCCAG
rnacentral:rRNA from 1 species